CUUUCCUUCUUUCAAAUCAAUUUUUGAGUUUCCUGUAAGCUACCAUCAAGUAUUAUAAAAAUAUUAUUUUGGGGGAAGUACUCAAAACAAAAGUUAAAAAACUUAGAGAUUUGUUUAGUCACAAGAAGUAAUGAAGUAAAAAAUAAUAAUAAAAGAAUAAAAGUUACAUAUGCUUUGAAAUAUUCUAAAUUGGAGUCUGUAAACUCUGUAAAAAUAAUUUUUAGCAUUUUGCAAGUGGCGAGAUUUUAAUUUUAUUUUAAAAAAAAGACUAAAUGACCCAUACAAGAGAAAAAUAACACAUUCAUUGCUCUUUCUCCAAUGACCCAUACAUCUUUAGCCACCAAAGUUUCGAUUAGACUGAUAGAGUGAUAAUAGAGAUGCAGCUUAUACAAGCCGUUUCUUUUUAUAAAUAGCAAAGCAAGAGACAUACCAAUUAAGAAUCACAAUGACAGUGUUCUUACAUGUAUAUCCCUACAUUUAAAUAUUCUUCUCAGACAACAGAAUGAUAAGUUAGAGAGAUGGCUACUCUCAACGUUUUCGAUCUGUAUUAGGCUUAGGAGGAAGAAGAAGAUCCCCUGGUUCGACGGAAAACAUCCAGGAGGCACAAUGGCGAAUCAAGCCAAGGACCCCCGGCCAAGAAAGGUCGAAUAGAUGAUCCUUCCAAGGGCGUGCCUACUAGACAAGCUUCUGCCCAGCCUUCUGCUCCUGCUGAGAAGGAGGCUGCCCCUGCUGCCAACCCUCCGCCUGCGGCCCGAAGGGAGCACACCCCGCAAGCAGAGCUUCCUGGGACCAAGCUCUCGAACCGCUCCCUGCGAUCAGCUAAAGAUCGCCUUGCUCAUAUCUUAAAGCACGACCGUUGCAGGGAGGCAAUGGCUGAAGCUGAGAGUAUGGGAGUUGACCAGAUCCUCAACAGGGCUCUUAACGAAGUAGCCAGUGUAAGUAUUUUUCCUCUUAGAUUUUGCUUCUCCUUUUUGUAGCAUAGUCUAACUUUUAUUUCGUUGACUGCAAGCCAUGCUGACAAUAACUGCCGCUCGCACCCGUGCCUUGGCUACCAUCGAACAGGCUCGGGCAAAGGCCAUCGAGGAGUUCCAGGUGAAAGCCAUCGAGGAGCUUCAGGCUGUAGAAGCCAGGCACGCUGGGGAGUUGGAGGUGGUCACCCAGCAGAAGGAUGCUAUGGUGGCAAAGCUGGCGGAGGCUGAAGCUUCUCAGGCAGCUUUAAAGAAGCAGAAGGAUGACUUCCAGGAGUCCAAUCGAAUCCAAUAUCAUGAAGUCAAGAGGCUUAAGGAGGAGCUCCUUGCUAAGGACAAGACCAUAUUUGUUUUUGAGAGCCAGGUGGAGCAGCUGAAGCUUACCAAUGCUAAAGAUCUGGAGACGUACAAGAAUGCGACACUUCGCUGUUUCUACGACUUUUGGAAACACAACUGGGGUGCCAACUUUAAUUACCUUCCAAAGGAUGCUAGGAACGCUGAGUUGGCUCGCUGCACUGCUCAAUUGGCUGUAGAAGAAGAAAGAGCAAGGGUCCCUGCUUCCCCAAGCAUCCAGCCGACCGUUGACGCAGAGGAAGGAGGAGUUGUUGAGGAUGCAGCCAACCAGACUGCUGAGCAAGACCCUCCUGCUCCUUAUAUUUCUCUUUUUAUUUUUCUUCAAUUACACGACCCACGGGUCGUGAUGUAAAGACUAAAUUUUUAUUUUUAAAUUUGCUGCACGGGCAGCAAACUUUCCCUUUUAUUUUAAACAAUUGCAUCCAAGCAGUGAUGCUUGCGGUGUAAAAGAAUGCCUUAUGAUAUUAUAAUAUUUCCAUCUAUUAUAACAUCUGUUCGCAUGACCGAACUUAGCAUAGUACUUUGGCUUGAUUUAGAAAAAUAUAAAUUUUGAAAAAUACUCUAAGUACCUUAGCAUGCUUUCACUCAUUUUGUUCAUAUGUUUACAUACCUCUUGGAAUGCUUUGUUAUCGAUGUACCUUAUAUGCCCCCCAAGUGAUCGAGGAGCUUUAGGUCCUUGGUCACUUGCCUUGACCACGACCUGUGCGAACAUUAUUGCUCGAUAGGAAACGUAGUACUUAUAGUACAGCAAAACAACACACAUAAUGAACAAAUACUUGUAAAAAUAAAUUUAUAAAGGUUGGCAAGAAUGACUAGCUGCGCACAGUCCCUUAUAAUCUCGUAUUAAAAAUGGACUAAACAUGUCUUUACGAGUGAUCUUAAAAAGAUCUUACACUUAUAAGCGAUUAGCCAUACAACGUGGCUAACUCUUUUUCGAAACUUGUAAAAAGUAAAAAUUAAUACAAGCCAGUUCUUUAAAAAGGAUUGUUUAUUGGUAGUACUUGCGCAGGUGUUCACCGUUCCAAUAGCGUGGAACGAGAUCUCCAUUCAAGCGUGCAAGUUUGUAGGUGCCCGGAUGAAGGACUUCUUCAAUUUGGCAAGGUCCUUCCCAGUUUGGUCUGAGCACUCCAGUAGUAGGGUCAUAGGUAUUUAAGAAAAACUCGUCGUAGCACUAGGUCACCGACGUUGAAUUUCCUUUCUUUCACUUUUGAGUUAAAAUAACGGGCGACCUUUUGCUGGUACGCAACGACUCGGAGUUGGGCUCUUUCUCAUAUCUCCUCAAUUGAGUCUAGGGACUCCAUCAUCAGUUGGCUAUUCUGGUCCUGGUCAUAUGUAAUGCGUCGAUGUGAGGGGGAAUCUAACUCGACAGGUAACACAGCUUCAUACCCGUAUGCUAAGGAAAAUGGGGUAUGACCUGUCGCUGUUCGAUGAGAAGUUCUACAUGACCAGAGUACUUCAGGCAUUUGUUUUGGCCAUGCUCCUUUAGUGUCUUCAAUUAUUUUCUUCAGGGUGUCCUUAAGCAUUUUAUGCACUGCUUCGACCUGCCCAUUUGCUUGUGGAUGCGCGACUGAAGAAAAGUUUUUAAUGAUCCCGUGCCUUUCGCAGAAAUCUGUAAAUAAGUCACUGUCAAACUGGGUGUCGUUGUCUGAGACAAUUUUGUGAGGCAAACCAUAUCGGCAAACAAUGUUCUUGAUGACAAAGUCAAGAACCUUUUUGGUCGUUAUGGUAGCAAGUGGCUCAGCUUCGGCCCAUUUGGUGAAGUAGUCUACUGCUACGACUGCGUACUUCACUCCGCCUUUUCCCAUUGGCAGGGAUCCAAUCAAAUCUAUACCCCACACUGCGAAAGGCCAAGGACUCUGCAUCUGUUUUAACUCAUUUGGAGCUGUGCACGAGAUUUUGGAAAAUCUCUAACACUUAUCGCAUUUUCACACAAACUCCAUUGAGUCUUCGUUCAUAGUCGGCCAGAAAUAGCCCUGCCUCAGAAUCUUUUUCGCCAAACUUUGCCCCCCAGCGUGAUCCCCGCAGAAGCCUUCAUGUACUUCCCUCAUCAGCUCCUUAGCUUUCUCUGGUGUAAUACAUCUGAGCAGUGGCGUGGAAUAUCCUCUACGGUAUAGAACACCAUCGACUAGUAUAUACCUAGCAGCCUGCCUUUGAAGAGUUCUGGCUUUGUUCCUAUCUGCCGGUAGUACACCAUUUGUAAGAUAUUCCAAGUAAGGCGCCAUCCAUGUGUCUCCCAUCCGGAUUUCUAUACUGGUUUCAUUUGGUCGUAUGCUUGGCUCGCUCAAUCUUUCUACUGGCACAAUAUUCAAAGUGUCAGCAUCUUUCGCGCUUGCGAGUUUGGCUAAGGCAUGUGCGUUAGAAUUCUGAUCCUGAGGUAUUUGCUGGAGGGUAUACUUCUCAAACUGAGCCAAUAAAUCUCUAGUUUUGUUCAAGUAGGCCACCAUUUUGAGGCCUCGUGCUUGAUAUUCCCCUAGAACUUGAUUCACUACCAACUGUGAAUCACUGUAAAUAUCCAGCACCUUUAUACUCAUGUCUUUUGCCAAUCUUAAUCCAGCGAGGAGUGCUUCAUAUUCGGCUUCAUUAUUUGACGCUGUGAAGUCGAACCUAAUGGCGCAGUGAAAUCGAUGCCCUUCUGGCGUUAUCAAAAUCACUCCCGCUCCCGCGUGAGAUUUGUUGGACGAUCCAUCCGUGAAUAACUUCCACAAAGGAGCUUCAUCUUGGGGCUCAGGCGCAUUAGGCUUUUCGCACUGUUCGUUGUCUGGGAGCUCAGUGAACUCCGCAAUAAGAUCAGUCAAGACUUGUCCUUUUACUACUACUCGCGGUGAAUAUGUAAUAUCAAACUGCCCUAGUUCGACUGCCCAUUUUAAUAAAUGCCCAGCCGCCUCUGGUUUUUGGAGGACUUGCCGAAGGGGGUGGUCAGUUAAGACUGUAAUGGGAUGGGCUUGGAAGUAAGGAUGUAGCUUCCUUGAGGCCAAGAUUAAACAAUAAGCUAACCUCUCGAUGGGAGGAUACCUCAGCUCUACUCUGAUUAGCCUUUUGCUUACAUAGUAAACCACCUUUUGUACGCCCUCUUCCUCUCGUACUAGUACCGCACUAGUAGCGACUUCGGUUAUUUCCAGGUAGAUGAACAAAGUUUCUCCUUCAAUAGGCUUUGAUAAGAUAGGAGGCUGUGCCAUAUGGGCCUUUAAGGAUUGGAAAGCCUGCUCGCAGUCUCCUGUCCAUUCAAACUUCUUGUUGCCUCUAAGUAAAUUGAAGAAAGGGACGCAUUUAUCCGCCUUCUUGGAAAUGAAUCUACUUAGGGCGGCAAUUCUUCCAGUUAAAAUUUGUACAUCCUUGAUCCUCUCUGGCGAUUUCAUGUCGAUCAGGGCUUUUAUCUUGUCGGGGUUGGCCUCGAUUCCUCUUAAAUUAACGAUGAACCCCAAAAAUUUCCCUAAUCCAACUCCGAAGGAACAUUUGAGAGGAUUUUUUUUCAUCUGGUACUUGUUCAAUACAUCGAAACACUCUUGCAAAUCCUUCAAAAUGUCCUUUUUUCGACUUUACCAGCAUGUCGUCUACGUACACCUCCAUGUUUACUCCGAUCAACUCCUUAAACAUGUGGCUAACCAAUCGCUGGUAAGUCGCACCUGCGUUUUUCAGUCCGAAGGGCAUCACUUUAUAAUAGUAUAAUCCUGUAUCGGUCUGAAAGCUGGUGUGAUACUCGUUAGGGGGAUGCAUACUAAUCUGAUUGUAACCUGAGUAUGCAUCCAUGAAGGAGAGGAUCUCAUGUCCUGCAGUCGCAUCGACCAGCUGAUCGAUCCUUGGGAGUGGGAAGCAAUCCUUCGGGCAGGCCUUAUUGUGGUCUGUGAAAUCCACACAGGUUCGCCAUUUUCCGUUAGGCUUGGGAACCUACACUGGAUUAGAGACCCACGACGGAUAAAACAGCACCCUGAUGAACCCAUUCUCCUUUAAUCUUUCAACUUCUUCUUUUAAGGCUCUUGACCGAUCCUUAUCGAGCAGCCUUCUUUUCUGUUGCACGGGUGGAAAAGUCUUGUCUAUGUUCAGGACAUGGCUGAUAACUGCAGGAUCUAUCCCAGCCAUGUCUUUGUGCGACCAGGCAAAGACUUCCUGGUUCUUCCACAAAAACUCCACUAGUGCAUGCUUCGUGGUUGGUUCUAAGUUUUUCCCGACCUUCACAACUCUGGUCGGGUCUUUUUCGUCAAGUUGGACCUCUUCCAGGUCCUUGACGGGUCCAACAUUUUCCUCAAAAUCCCCAAAGCGAGGAUCCAAAUCUCUAUCCUCCCUUUGGGAAACACCAUAUUUGGUGACUUCAUCACCAUAUUGGGCUUGUGUAUCAAUAGCCAUCUGCAACCUAUCUGGGGGAGUGCUCUUUGACGUUCCCUUCUUCGCCUUCGUGAUUGAGGCGUUGUAGCACUCCCUGGCCUCCCUCUGAUUUCCCAACACGCGUCCUACCCCUGCGUCUGUCGGGAAUUUCAUGGCUAAGUGCCAUACUGAGGUGACGGCUCGAAGAUCAACCAAUAUAGGCCUUCCAAUGACCGCAUUGUACGCCGAGGGACAAUCGACUACUAUGAAACUAGCGAGUAAUGUCCUGGUAGCAGGCGCUGUACCUGCUGUCGCUGGAAGUCUGAUUGACCCCGCUGGGGCGAGUCCCUCACCAGAGAAGUCGUAUAUUGUUUGAUUGCAGGGCUCCAAGUCCUUAACGGAAAACUUCAUGCGUUCCAACGAAUAUUUAUACAGGAUGUUCACUGAACUUCCUGUGUCAACUAGCACUCUUUUCACCAUCAUAUUGGCCAUUUGGAUAUCUACGACUAGCGAAUCGGAAUGUGGGAACCGGACAUGCUGAGCGUCGCCAUCAGAGAAGGUUAUUUCACCCUCUUCUGACCGAGCCUUUUUCAGUGCGUGGUCCUCCACAAUCAUCAUCUCGAUGUCCUGGUCAUGGCGCAGAGUCCGAGCAUAUCAUUCCCUGACCUUUCCACUGUUUCCGGCGAGGUGCGGGCCUCCACAGAUGGUUAACAAUGUGCCAGUUACGGGAUCAGGCUGCAAAGGUAGCGAGUGUUGGCAUGUGGGCGCUUGCUCGUUGCCACCUGGAGCUUCUCGUUGGGAAUUUCCCGAGGCCCGUAUAUACCUUCUCAAGUGUCCUUGUCUAAUAAGGAACUCGAUCCCAUCCUUCAGCUGGUUGCAUUUAUUGGUAUAAUGUCCGUAGUCGUUAUGAUAACGACAUAACUUGGUAGUGUCUCUUCUCGAAAUAUCCUUUCGAAUAGGGGCAGGUUUCUUAUAAGGCACACUGGAACUCGUGGCCUGAUAAACCUCUCCCCGAGACUCAAUAAGGGCAACAUAAUUAGUGAACCGAGGUUCAUAACGAUUACCCUUGGCUCGUUUAUUGUCAGAGGUGGAAGGCUCAUUGUGCGGCCAUUUCCCCCCAUUCUUGCCAUUGCCAUUGCCGUUCUCGUUGCCUUUGCUGUUGCUGAUGGGCUUUGACCCAUUGGCGGCUUUGGCGGGCUCGGCUGUCCCCUUGUCCUUGCCUGGGGGCUUCCCUUCAUUGGCGAUGGCAUCCUCGAGCUUGAUAUAUCGAUCAGCUCGAUCCAAAAAUUCCUGGGUAGUUCUGACCCCAUGUUUUCUGAGGAUGUCCCAAAGAGGCGUGCGGCGCUUAACCCCUGCAGUUAUGGCUAUCAUCUUGCCUUCGUCUCCCACUGUUUUCGCUCCAGCAGCUGCUCGCAUAAAACGCUAGACGUAGUCCUUCAGUGGUUCUCCAUCUUGCUAGCGUAUUUUGACCAGCUGAUUUGCCUCAGUCGGGUGCACACGACCCGCAUAGAACUGUCCGUAAAACUCCUUCACGAACAUUUCCCAGAAAACUAUACUUGCAGGAGGGAAUUUGAAAAACCACUCCUGUGCGGCAUCAGAAAGUGUUGCAGGGAAGAUCCUGCACCGAGCGUUUUCGGACACUUUCUGAAUGUCCAUUUGUAUCUCAAACUUGUUGACGUGAGAUACCGGGUCACCAUACUUGUCAAAGUUCGGAAGCGUAGGCAUCUUAAACUUGCCAAGAGUUUCUGCCAUAGCUAUCCUUUGGAUGAAAGGAGUGCCUUUUCUCCUAUCGUGGUCGAUAUAAGAUGUUCUUCCCCCGACCAGCUGCUGCACUGCCUGGUUGAGGGCAUCUAUCUGGGCCUGCGCGGCGCCAGGAAUCGCCGGGGCCUCUGGUGCUGGGGGGAACGUACUCGUCGUGCCGCUCCCGGCGAUCGUUGAGUACGUCUCUUAAAUCCUCGUCUCUCCUCCACUACUCACAAGCUCCGAGCCGGUUAAUGAUGUUAUUUUGUCUGGGCCGCCCCCUAGCGUCCCGUCUUUCGGGUUGGUCAUCCCUAGGUGGUAGGCUUCUGCCCCCACCUAUUUCUUCAUUCCUCCGAUUGGCGUUUCCUCUGCCUGAGUCGGCCUCAUUAUAACCAUGGCCAUCUCUGAAUCUUGAUUGGCUAUGAUUGGAUCGACUGUUCCCUCGGUUGCCUUCCCGAGCUGGAACCUCCUGAGCGUUAGAGGGUGGCCUGCGUUGGUCAGUAGGUCCCCGUGCAUUAUCAUGCCGUGGGGGGCCUCGGACCGUAGAGCCUGACUCUGAGUUCCUUCUGUUACCAGGAGGACACUGUCCUCUGCUCGGGGGGUUUGGCUCGUCGCCCCUAUGGCGUCUAGGACUGCGAGGCGCAUGCCUGGCCCUAUUCUGCCUUUGUUGCAGGGGAUUGCCACGACCAGCUUGGGAUGGAGGUUGUGCCUUAGGGUCCCUCAGCGGGACAUCGUCCUGAGGCACCGGUGGCUGCUCGGGCCUUUGGGGGCUUGAAGGAUGCAUAGGCGGACUAGGAUUAGGACCCCUCUGGGGCGGCCCAUUCGUAGGUUGAUCAGGUUGCGAGGCAGGUGCAGCCUGGUUCCUAGCCAGCUGUAGGGCUGCUUCGAGGGCUGCCAUGGCCUCCAUCUGACGGCGGUCCAUCUCCGCCUGCCUCUCACUCAGUUCCAGACGCUGUCGUUCAAUCUCUUGUUGCUGCCACGCCAUAACCUCGGCAACACUUUCCUGGCUGGCCCUUAGAUUGGCCAGUUCAUCCUGCAAUACCCCCAGGGUAUUCCUCAACGUCUCGGAAUCCAUUUCUUCCUCAUCGAAUUCCAAAUGUGGCUCAUCCUCAGUCACGUUUGGAGGAGGAGGAGGCGGGUGAGAUGGUGCAGCGCCAGCUGCCUGUCCAGUUUUCUUGGUAGUUUUCGCCAUUGAUCUUUCAACGAUACUGUAUCAAGCUGUCAAUGAAAGCACCAAAAUGUUGACCCUGAUUUUGGCCAACUGACACGGAGUCAAAUAUGCUUGAUGUGGACAAAUGCGUUGAAAUGAAUGUGAUGACAAAAACAAUAAAGAAUACAAGAGUUUAUAGUGGUUUGGCCCCAGAAUCUGGUAAUAACCUACGUCCACUUGAACUAUUAUUGAUAUAGGAUUCAAAGGAGUGAUCAAAGAACUAGGGUUCGAUGAGUUUCACAAACCUCUGUAGAACAAAAGAAUAUAUUGAAAGUGAUAGUUCAAAUACACUCGUAAAACUCUAAUCUCCAAUAAUUCGAAAGCCAAAAGUCCCUUCCUUGAGCUAUCUUUCUCUAUUUAUAGGCUCAAGGGGGAUUAAAUUUGUUACAGAUAUUCUUUCCUAAAUAAUCAGAUACUCUAGAAAUCAUGGGAGUCAAUCUCGGGAUUGACUAAGAUCUUUAUAAAAAUUAUCGUGAGACACGCGGAAUGUGCGACCAUACUGGUCGCAGGUAAACCUCAACCGCCUUUUGCUUGCAAUAUCAUUACUGGUUGAUACCCUAGCAGAAUUUCGCCAAGUGUCAGCCACGUGUCCAGAAAUCACUUGCCACAUCAUCCGUGCCUGUUUUUUGGAUAACACAAUUCAAGUUAUAUAUAUAAAUACAUAUGGAUGUUCAUGUUCAUGUUUAUCUUAUACGAUACUUAAUUCCAUAUUGUGCAGUUCUUGUGUUCUUUUGACUAUUUAGCCUUUAGUUUGGUUAAGUUUACCAACUAUAUAUUUAAUAGAUAUAUAAAUAUAAUUAAAAAGUACACUCGGAGUUUUGCUGAUUGCCCUGUAUUAAUAAUUUUUUAAAAAAAAAUAUUGCAUAACUAAAUGGUACAAGACUAUGGUCAAACUCUGCUAUCUUUCCAUUACUACAAUUUUACUAAAAACUAAAAAUUCAUAUGGAGAAGACAACAUGGGUGAUUAGUUUAAAGAUCUGCAAAUAUUUGCAUUUACUUAAUUUUAUUUCUGAUGAGGUUUAGAUAAAUUUAAGAUGCAUUACUACACCAAAUACCCAUUUUCAUAACAUAUGAAUAUAAUAGUAAUGAAAAAGUAUUAUGAUAUAUAUAUGUGGCAAAGUAAAAAAAAUGACGGUAUAAUUUUGGGAGCCCGCGCUACGUUAUAACUUGUAAAAGUUAUAUUUUUAUCCUAAUUCUUUUUAUUUACAUUGUUUGACUAAGUCUGAGAACGACUCCUCUUCUCCGUUCAUCUUCGCCUAUAACUUCUGGGAUCGACUUCUCCGUUCAUUCGCCUAUAACUACUGGGAUCGACUUCUGUGUUCAUUCGCAAUCUUCACCAAAAGUUAAUCUUUGUUUGACUCCUCCAUUCAUCUUCGCCUACGGUGUCUCCGAAGUCAGUCCAUUGCUCUGAGUACAACUUCGGCUCUUCGGCGUUUCCAAUCGUUUACAGAGCCGAUACUAGGUGGCUAUAUGAAGCAAUAGCGUGAUAUGCUUGGUUUAAUCCAUAGCAGGCAUAGCUGCAUAUAACAACCACAAGCUAAAAAAAGAAGCUUCUGGACACACUACUAAAGCUGCUGAACCCACCAUUGAUGAUACAGAAAAUGCUGCUGAGUCUGUACCACUGACCACAUACGUGUGUCCCAACAAGUAGAACUACAUUAGGAGCAGUCUUCCAAGUUAAGUAUAGGAUUCAUCAAACCUAUUGUAACAUGCUACAGCAGAGUGUCCAAACUUUCCACAGAUCUGACAAGUGGGUCUCAAACCACCAAACCUUCCUCUUUCUCUAGCACGAUUUCCUCCACCUCUAUUUCCUCCAUUGUUGUCAUAUUUGUUGCUAUUUUGUUGCUCACCAUAACUCUGACCUCUUCCCACAGCUUGGAUAUUUUGUGGCUAUGUUUGCUGUUGGACUUGAUGGUGGUGCUACAACUUUGUUUGCUGCAUUUAUGGCUUGUAGUCGCUCGAGUUUGCAAACAAGGAAAAAUUAUGUAUAUUUUGUAAUGAAGGUUCAGCUAUGAAUUUAUCCUAUUAUUGAAUUUUCAUUGAAUAUUAUGAUUAAAUAACUAUUUGCACACAAAAUAUGUACAUAUGAACUAUUAAAAAAUAUGGAUACAUACUUUGCAAAAGGUUAUUUAGCCAUAAAAUGGCUGCAUAGAGGGAACCUGAGUUUGUGAUAUGCGGUUCCUAAUUGUCCUAUUAACUUUGUUCUUGUUGUUUUGUAUAUUAAAGCCUUAUUAUCUCUCUUUAAAAAUUACAUGAAUACAUUUUUACAUUCUGAUACCA